UACGUAGGGGGCAAGCGUUUGUCCGGAAUCAUUGGGCGUAAAGAGCGCGUAGGCGGCCCUGUAAGUCCGCUGUGAAAGUCAAGGGCUCAACCCUUGGAUGCCGGUGGAUACUGCAGGGCUAGAGUCCGGAAGAGGCGAGUGGAAUUCCUGGUGUAGCGGUGAAAUGCGCAGAUAUCAGGAGGAACACCGAUGGCGAAGGCAGCUCGCUGGGACGGUACUGACGCUGAGGCGCGAAAGCCAGGGGAGCGAACGGG
rnacentral:rRNA from 1 species